rnacentral:lncRNA from 1 species
CUCUCUCUCUCUCUCUCUCUCUCUCUCUCUCUCUCUCCCUACUUCAUUCCUUUUAUCUGUAGAUAUAUAUCCUUACAUGUUUCCAUCCUUUUACAACUUACUGAUCUCUCACAUUUUUUUGCUUUCACCAACUUUUCGUUUAUUGCAGUUCUUCCUGACCACUCAUUACAGUCUUCGUUACGUUAAAGACUUCCACUUAUAAUAAAUGGAAAUAGAAUGGCUUGAGAGAAUUGGCGUUGUUUAAAGUGCGCUAAUUUCUCCAGGGAAAACAGACUAAGCCUCGAUUCGUCGAGAAUACAUUCUCCGAUGCUAGUUACAAGGAUGGAAUUUACGAUAUGUUUAAAGUUGUGAUUGGUUAUGGCUAGUGUUUAGUUGUGCUACAAUCAUGGCUUGAUCCUGAUGAAGAAACUAAGUUUCUGGGCACCACAUGGUAUUGACGUGUCAAAAGCGUUGAAGAAAAUAUUAUCUCCAGAAACUUCAUGGGAGAGCAUUCCAUAUAAAUAUGCCAUUCGAUACACAACUCGAACAGGACAAGUCUUUCAAAUGUUCAAAUAUUUCUGAUACUCGUAAGUUUGACGAUGAUUAUCAUCCGCAAAACAAAGAAAAUUUUAGAGG